GCGUGGAGGUUAAGGUCUUCGGAUUGUAAACUCCUGUCAUGCGAGAACAAAACCCGCAAGGGUGUGAUAGUACCGCAAGAGGAAGAGACGGCUAACUCUGUGCCAGCAGCCGCGGUAAUACAGAGGUCUCAAGCGUUGUUCGGAAUUACUGGGCGUAAAGGGUGCGCAGGCCGCGCGGGCAGUCAAAUGUGUAAUUCAGGGGCUCAACCCCUGCACUGCGCUUGAUACUUCCGCGCUCGAGCUUUGGAGAGGAGUCUGGAAUUCUCGGUGUAGCAGUGAAAUGCGUGGAUAUCGAGAAGAACACUUAGGGCGAAGGCAAGACUCUGGACAAAUGCUGACGCUCAUGCACGAAGGCUAGGGUAGCGAACGGGAUUAGAUACCCCGGUAGUCCUAGCUGUAAACGGUGCACGUUUGGUGUGGGAGGCAACCCCUUCCGUGCCGAAGCUAACGCGAUAAACGUGCCGCCUGGGUAGUACGGUCGCAAGACUA
rnacentral:rRNA from 1 species